CGGCCUGAGAGGGUGAACGGACACACUGGAACUGAGACACGGUCCAGACUCCUACGGGAGGCAGCAGUAGGGAAUAUUGCUCAAUGGGGGAAACCCUGAAGCAGCAACGCCGCGUGGAGGAUGAAGGUUUUCGGAUUGUAAACUCCUUUUGUUAGAGAAGAUAAUGACGGUAUCUAACGAAUAAGCACCGGCUAACUCCGUGCCAGCAGCCGCGGUAAUACGGAGGGUGCAAGCGUUACUCGGAAUCACUGGGCGUAAAGAGCGCGUAGGCGGGAUAGCAAGUCAGAUGUGAAAUCCUAUGGCUUAACCAUAGAACUGCAUUUGAAACUGUUAUUCUAGAGUAUGGGAGAGGUAGGUGGAAUUCUUGGUGUAGGGGUAAAAUCCGUAGAGAUCAAGAGGAAUACUCAUUGCGAAGGCGACCUGCUAGAACAUAACUGACGCUGAUGCGCGAAAGCGUGGGGAGCAAACAGGAUUAGAUACCCUGGUAGUCCACGCCCUAAACGAUGAAUGCUAGUUGUUGUGGAGCUUGUCUCUGCAGUAAUGCAGCUAACGCAUUAAGCAUUCCGCCUGGGGAGUACGGUCGCAAGAUUAAAACUCAAAGGAAUAGACGGGGACCCGCACAAGCGGUGGAGCAUGUGGUUUAAUUCGAAGAUACACGAAGAACCUUACCUAGGCUUGACAUUGAUAGAAUCCGCUAGAGAUAGUGGAGUGCUAGCUUGCUAGAACUUGAAAACAGGUGCUGCACGGCUGUCGUCAGCUCGUGUCGUGAGAUGUUGGGUUAAGUCCCGCAACGAGCGCAACCCUCGUCCUUAGUUGCUAACUAUUCGGUAGAGCACUCUAAGGAGACUGCCUUCGCAAGGAGGAGGAAGGUGAGGAUGACGUCAAGUCAUCAUGGCCCUUACGCCUAGGGCUACACACGUGCUACAAUGGGGCGCACAAAGAGGAGCAAUACCGCGAGGUGGAGCAAAUCUCUAAAACGUCUCUCAGUUCGGAUUGUAGUCUGCAACUCGACUACAUGAAGCUGGAAUCGCUAGUAAUCGUGAAUCAGCCAUGUCACGGUGAAUACGUUCCCGGGUCUUGUACUCACCGCCCGUCACACCAUGGGAGUUGUAUUCGCCUUAAGUCGGGAUACUAAAUUGGUUACCGCCCACGGCGGAUG
rnacentral:rRNA from 1 species